rnacentral:sRNA from 1 species
UAAGGGUCGAUGCAGGAUCUUUCAAGCCGCAGCCUCGAAGUCCAGGUGCUUGCCCGUACGGCGCCACUUUUUCUCCUUGUGUCUUCCUUGAUCGUCAUGCCUUGCCGGCGCUUUUACCGGUGAGAAGGAACUUAUUGAGGAAUCCAACAUGGAAACCGGUACCGUCAAGUGGUUUAACGAUUCGAAGGGUUUUGGCUUCAUUACGCCUGAUGCAGGCGGCAACGACCUGUUCGCGCAUUUCUCCGAAAUCCAGGGCAGCGGCUUCAAGUCGCUGGCAGAAGGCCAGAAGGUGCGUUACGUUGCCGGCGUCGGCCAGAAGGGCCCGGCCGCGACCAAGAUCGAGCCGAUCUGAAUCGCACCGACCUGAAUUCCGCUGGCGCCGCAGCGCCAGUCCGGGAAAGGAAGCUCCGCCAGCGCGGAGCUUUUUUGU